GCUGGCUCCGCCCAGGGCUUCCGCCCCGAGGCCCGUCGGUCGCCGUUCGGUUCCGGCUCUAGCCCCGCCCUCAGGCGGGAACCUGCAGAAGUCUUAAUAUCCGGGAGCAGGGGCUGGCGCCUGCGCGCACUUCCGGUGACGGAGGCGAGGUUUCUGCAGGCGUUUUCUCAAUUCUGUCAAAUCCUGACUAUGCCGCUGCAUUCAUUGACCUCAACACAGUGAAUAAAGCGCACAGCACACCCUUUAAAUAGAGGACCACUCUGGUGAAGCUUAAGGAAAGCAAAUUCACCAUGGAUUCUAUGACCGUUGCAUACCGCUGUGAUCGAGGACUUGAGCGUCCUAACCAAGGAAUGGAGACAACAUGAGAAGUGGAACGUGAAAACAAGGUCCAGAAGAUCACAUUAUCAAGGACAUAAUGAAUAGAGCCACUGCCCAAGCCACCUAAAAUGUAUCAGUCAAAGUAACCUGGGAGAAGUGAAAAAUUUGGCAGAUCAGAGAAACCUAGAUUCCCAGGUGGAUGUAUUUUAUCAAAUGAAGCUAGGCAAUCCUUGCUGUGUCUGAAUUCCAUCCUUCCAUAAUCUAUUUCUUAUUUCUUGUACCUUACAACAAGCCUGCCAUCACCAAUCAUAUUUAUAUAGGUUCUAGCAUGUACACUAAAUAAUUUUGUAUU
rnacentral:lncRNA from 1 species